GUGAGACUGGUGACGAUCAGAUAGGUAUUUAAGGGAAAUGUGCGCCCUCUUGUGGCAAAAACAUCUACCUGAGUACUUCAAAACCAAACUGCAGUACUUUCGUUUGAACUGUAAACAUACAUUGAUCAGGCAUAACAUUAUGACCACCUGCCUAAUAUUGUGAUGGUCCCCCUUUUGCUGCCAAAACAGCCCUGACCCAUCCUGCACUGUGUAUUCUGACCCCUUUCUAUCAGAACCAGCAUUAACUUCUUCAGCAGUUUGAGCAGCAGUAGCUCAUCUGUUGGAUCGGAUCACACGGGCCAGCCUUCAUACUCCAUGUGAAUCAGUGAGCCUUGGCCGCCCAUGACCCUGUCGCCGGUUCACCACUGUUCCUUCCUUGGACCACUUUUGAUGGAUACUGACCACUGCAGACCGGGAACACCCCACAAGAGCUGCAGUUUUGGAGAUGCUCUGAUCCAGUCAUCUAACCAUCACAAUUUGGCCCUUGUCAAACUCACUCAAAUCCUUACGCUUGUCCAUUUUUCCUGCUUCUAACACACCGACUUUGAGGACAAAAUGUUCACUUGCUGCCUAAUAUAUCCCACCCACUAACAGGGGCCAUGAUGAGGAGAUCAUCAGUGUUAUUCACUUCACCUGUCAGUGAUCAUAAUGUUAUGGCUGAUCGGUGUAUAAAUGAAUACGAAUAAAUUAGUCAUAAUGAACCAAUAAUGUGUUCUAAACAUAUACAAAUACACAUAUGAACAGGAAAUGUACUGUUUUUUUUGUUUGUUUGUUUAAAAAAUCAUUCCAAAAAAAGGUUCACACAACAAAAACAACAACAACAACAAACUAUAUAAAGGGGAGGUUUUUAUUUUCAUGUUGGUGCCACUGAGUCAGUAAUGUCGAAGACACAGCUUUUAUCCCGUCAUCCUUAGUAAUCCUUAGGAUUAUUGUGGUUAAAUUUGCUAGUUUGUUUAGAUUAUAGAAAAUAACCAACAAAAGUCGCAAGAAUAGAUUACAGGAAUGUACAAACAAAAAUGAAGAAAACAAUACAGUAAUCCUGUGCGAAUCUCUAGUUGAAAGCAAUUAGCAAAUAACAGAGUGAUGUGGCUGAUGUUGAGGAGCCAGAAGUCACACAUGCUGACAAUGCUUCUGGGUUUUUUCCAGUAUUUCCAGUGGGAUCUAAUCACUCCUUCCAAUCAGGACACAUCCACUUCAAGUAUAAAUAAAAAACAGAUAUGGAUAGCCGGAGCACAAAGAGAUACAGAUUCAGAAACAUGUAUUUCGAGCACUUAACAGUUUAUAUUAGGGAGUUCUCACCUCUGGCUUACUCAUUAGGUAUAGUUUGGAGUUUAUAAAUUUCUGUAAAGCUGCUUUGAGACAUUGUUAAAAGUGCUAAACAAGUAAAAUUUUAUUUGAAUUGACCAGAUACAAAUAAUGGCAUUGUUCUUAUUAACGUCCCAAGUUUAAAGGUCCACUCAGCAGAAAUCUGUUCUCAGGCUUAAUGGUCAAGUUACUCACUCCAGCAUGUCUCAUUGUGAACAUGUUCAACUUUGUUACUAGUUGCGUGGUGUGUGUUUUGGCAACCGUUCGCCCGUGUGAGACAUGGAGUCACGCAGCAAGGUAGCGUUCUUCUUUUAAUAACCUCAGUGUGUUUGAUUUCAUUUCAUCUGACAUCAGAUUCAUAUUUUACAGGAAAACAGUGACCCUUUACACGGCUUCAAAAGUCUCCAUGUCAGUGAACUUUAUCUUGCAAGAAGGCAGCUCCCAGAUGUUCCGGAUUUGUCCAGAUUCACCCUACUGAGAUACAUCUGGCUUAAUAAUAACAGGAUAAGGCGCAUUCAUGCCCCUGUGUUUCACUGCUGUUUAGCAGAGCUGUACCUCCAGAAUAAUCAGAUUACCUCAAUCGCAGGAGCUCUGAGGCAUCUAAGCUGUCUGCGAGUGCUGCUACUUCACAAUAACCACCUGCUUAAACUGGAGGAAACAGUGGGUGAGCUGAGAAACAUGCAGCACCUCCAAACACUCAAUUUGUUCCUGAAUCCCUGUUCACAAGAUCCCCUGUAUCGGGAAUACGUGGUCCAUCACUUACCAUCUGUUCAAUUAUUAGACAGAAAAGAGGUGAGACAGGAGGAGAGGAGACGUGCCUUUAAACUCUUGAGUCCUGAGAGACAGAUCAUUCUUGACACACUCGCCUUUGGCAGACGAGCACUGGCCGAAAGGAAAACGACUGAGAGCACAAAGACAGGUACUGAAACUGUAGCACAAUGCUACUGAAUGAAUGAAUUACA